UAGCAUAUCAAUAAGCGGAGGAAAAGAAACCAACAGGGAUUGCCUUAGUAACGGCGAGUGAAGCGGCAAAAGCUCAAAUUUGAAAUCUGGCACCUUCGGUGUCCGAGUUGUAAUUUGAAGAAGGUAACUUUGGAGUUGGCUCUUGUCUAUGUUCCUUGGAACAGGACGUCACAGAGGGUGAGAAUCCCGUGCGAUGAGAUGCCCAAUUCUAUGUAAAGUGCUUUCGAAGAGUCGAGUUGUUUGGGAAUGCAGCUCUAAGUGGGUGGUAAAUUCCAUCUAAAGCUAAAUAUUGGCGAGAGACCGAUAGCGAACAAGUACAGUGAUGGAAAGAUGAAAAGAACUUUGAAAAGAGAGUGAAAAAGUACGUGAAAUUGUUGAAAGGGAAGGGCUUGAGAUCAGACUUGGUAUUUUGCGAUCCUUUCCUUCUUGGUUGGGUUCCUCGCAGCUUACUGGGCCAGCAUCGGUUUGGAUGGUAGGAUAAUGACUAAGGAAUGUGGCUCUACUUCGGUGGAGUGUUAUAGCCUUGGUUGAUACUGCCUGUCUAGACCGAGGACUGCGUCUUUUGACUAGGAUGUUGGCAUAAUGAUCUUAAGCCACCCGUCUUGAAACACGGACCAAGGAGUCUAACGUCUAUGCGAGUGUUUGGGUGUAAAACCCGUACGCGUAAUGAAAGUGAACGUAGGUGAGAGCUCUUAAGAGUGCAUCAUCGACCGAUCCUGAUGUCUUCGGAUGGAUUUGAGUAAGAGCAUAGCUGUUGGGACCCGAAAGAUGGUGAACUAUGCCUGAAUAGGGUGAAGCCAGAGGAAACUCUGGUGGAGGCUCGUAGCGGUUCUGACGUGCAAAUCGAUCGUCGAAUUUGGGUAUAGGGGCGAAAGACUAAUCGAACCAUCUAGUAGCUGGUUCCUGCGA
rnacentral:rRNA from 1 species